GUUAUUUGUUUCAGUUCUCUUUGCGCAAAGACUUUUAAUGCACGUGAUGCGUUUAUUUUAAAUAUAUUGAGGGUGUUUUAAUGUUGGGUGUUUGAUGCGUUGUAGCCAUUUUCAUUUUAUAUUUUUUCCCACUAACUGUGAUCGAAUGCGUGUUACAACCUCGUGGAACGUUUGUUACUGUACAGACAGUUGGUUCUUUUAUUUUUUCCCAUAUAAUUCCUCAUCCUGUGACAGCCUGCUGUAAUAAAGUUUAAUUGCGUUGUAUUAAGAAUUAAUGCUAUUGAUAUAUCUAUCGAAGCACUACUAAUAGUUGUAACACGUUCUUAGCAUAAGCAACAUGAGGUAACGUAGGUGCGAAACCACGGCACACGGCGAUUAACCUAAAAGCCAUGGCGUUUCAGUGCCAGCGAGAGAUCUUCUGGUUAAACUAGAUUUAUAUGGCGAUUCAUCUGUUAAGGAGGGGUUUUAAUUAAGACUAGUUUUAACGGUAAGGAGCGGAGAAGUGGGUGGUGUAAUGAACAACCCUUGGUGAUAAUACAAAAGGCCACAUUGGUUCCAUUUCUUGUAGUUCGCUAUUUGUACACUAUUACUGUUUGGUUUCCUGCCAAGCAGCUUCUCCAGGGCUUGCUGUCUGACUGUUAAACCUGUCUGUUAAGGGGUGACAUGAUUGGGCCAUAUGUGCUCCCAAUGACCCAGAACUGUUCCAAGUGAUCUUAGCUCUGAUGUGACGUUUUAUGCAAUUAAAUAACAGUAAAUUGACAGAUCUUAGCUAAUAGCUCUAAUUUUCUCUCUCUAGUUUUCCCACUUUUGUCUUUGUUGGAGAAUAUUUGAUACCACUGUAAUCUGGUGCCCCAUGAAGUGAUGAAUGGAAGAAGGAUGAUGGCUGCCUUUCUUGAAGAAUGGCAGGAACUUUUGAUGAUGGACCGUCGGCGUGCAGCAGGGCUACCUUGUCGUAGGGGGGUAACCUGGAGCAUCAUGCCAUGCGCUCCCUUUGCGAAGUGAUCAGCAAGGUAUUGGAUUCCACUCAAAUCUGAUUGGGGUCCCACUGUCUAAGCAUAUGAAUAAAAGAAGGGAUGGCUCCUUGUCGGAUGGAUGGAUGGCCUUCCCCACCUAAUGAUGGACCGUCGGCGUGCAGCAGGGCUACCUGGUCGUAGGGGGUAACCUGGAGCAUCAUGCCAUGCGCUCCCUUUGCGAAGUGAUCAGCAAGGUAUUGGAUUCCACUCAAAUCUGAUUGGGGUCCCACUGUCUAAGCAUAUGAAUAAAAGAAGGGAUGGCUCCUUGUCGGAUGGAUGGAUGGCCUUCCCCACCUAAUGAUGGACCGUCGGCGUGCAGCAGGGCUACCUGGUCGUAGGGGGUAACCUGGAGCAUCAUGCCAUGAUGACAGAAGGGCUUAAGAGACCAUGGUUCUGCCCCGUUUCAGAAGCAGGAUGAAGUCCCAACCGUGUAGGCUACACUCCCGGUGUGGUUACAUAACGAAGAUCAAUUUGAAUGACAGCAGCCUUGUUUACUCACCUUCUAAUGCAUUUUUAACGUUGCUAAUUGUUUAAGAUACUGCAGUGUGGGGACAUGCUCUACUUAAGACACUAAUGUGCUGUCAGAAGGUUAAAUAGUUUAAUUUACAUUACUAUGUUUUAGUGUUUGUGCAGCCAAUUUCACUGUACUAUUUUGUUUAAUAAAUGCAAGUACCUCGUUUCACUUUAAGUAAAAUUCA